rnacentral:rRNA from 1 species
GUCCACGCUGUAAACCAUGUCAACUAGGUGUUGGUAGUGUUACACUAUCAGUGCCGAAGCAAACGCGUUAAGUUGACCGCCUGGGGACUACGAGCGCAAGCUUAAAACUCAAAGGAAUUGACGGGGGCCCGCACAAGCAGCGGAGCGUGUGGUUUAAUUCGAUGCAACACGAAGAACCUUACCUAGGCUUGACAUGACCGUAGUAGUGAAGCGAAAGCGGAACGAGCCUUCGGGCAGCGGCCACAGGUGUUGCAUGGCUGUCGU